rnacentral:rRNA from 1 species
AGUCGAGCGAACGGACGAGAAGCUUGCUUCUCUGAUGUUAGCGGCGGACGGGUGAGUAACACGUGGAUAACCUACCUAUAAGACUGGGAUAACUUCGGGAAACCGGAGCUAAUACCGGAUAAUAUUUUGAACCGCAUGGUUCAAAAGUGAAAGACGGUCUUGCUGUCACUUAUAGAUGGAUCCGCGCUGCAUUAGCUAGUUGGUAAGGUAACGGCUUACCAAGGCAACGAUGCAUAGCCGACCUGAGAGGGUGAUCGGCCACACUGGAACUGAGACACGGUCCAGACUCCUACGGGAGGCAGCAGUAGGGAAUCUUCCGCAAUGGGCGAAAGCCUGACGGAGCAACGCCGCGUGAGUGAUGAAGGUCUUCGGAUCGUAAAACUCUGUUAUUAGGGAAGAACAUAUGUGUAAGUAACUGUGCACAUCUUGACGGUACCUAAUCAGAAAGCCACGGCUAACUACGUGCCAGCAGCCGCGGUAAUACGUAGGUGGCAAGCGUUAUCCGGAAUUAUUGGGCGUAAAGCGCGCGUAGGCGGUUUUUUAAGUCUGAUGUGAAAGCCCACGGCUCAACCGUGGAGGGUCAUUGGAAACUGGAAAACUUGAGUGCAGAAGAGGAAAGUGGAAUUCCAUGUGUAGCGGUGAAAUGCGCAGAGAUAUGGAGGAACACCAGUGGCGAAGGCGACUUUCUGGUCUGUAACUAACGCUGAUGUGCGAAAGCGUGGGGAUCAAACAGGAUUAG